rnacentral:tRNA from 1 species
GAAUAAGAAGCGAACCAUCGCAUUCAGUUUCGACCUGAAAAAUUGGUAUAAAAAUUACCCUUAUUCU